rnacentral:rRNA from 1 species
CCUACGGGGGGCAGCAGUGAGGAAUAUUGGUCAAUGGGCUUACGCCUGAACCAGCCAAGUCGCGUGAGGGAAGACUGCCCUAUGGGUUGUAAACCUCUUUUGUCAGGGAGCAACGCCGGCUACGUGUAGCCUGACUCAGAGUCCCUGAAGAAAAAGCAUCGGCUAACUCCGUGCCAGCAGCCGCGGUAAUACGGAGGAUGCGAGCGUUAUCCGGUUUUAUUGGGUUUAAAGGGUGCGUGGGCGGAAUGCCAAGUCAGCGGUAAAAUCGCGGGGCUCAACCUCGCUCCGCCGUUGAAACUGGCGGUCUUGAGUGGGGGAGAAGUAUGCGGAAUGCGUGGUGUAGCGGUGAAAUGCAUAGAUAUCACGCAGAACUCCGAUUGCGAAGGCAGCAUACCGGCGCCCAACUGACGCUGAAGCACGAAAGCGUGGGUAUCGAACAGGAUUAGAUACCCGUGUAGUC